rnacentral:lncRNA from 1 species
UAGACGUGGCUCGGAUCCGGUGUUUCUGUGGCUGUGGUGUAGACCAGGGGCUAUAGCUCCAGUUUGACCCCUGGUCUGGGAACUUCCAUAUGACGCAGGUGCAGCCCUAAAAAGACCAAAAAAAAAAAAAAAAAAAAAAGUAUCCUAAAGAAAGAAGUAGGGGAGCUGUUCUAAACUCAGGCCUCCCAAGUAUAAGAUUCUCAACCUCCUCUCCUUUUGCAGCCUGGGGAAGGUCACUUAAUAGCAGGGACACUGAGCAGAAUUGUCAUCAGCCCUGGUGUCACCCCUGCAUGGCCUCAGCUGCUCCUGCGGUAGCUGUGUGUUGUUAUCCCCGUUUUAUAGACAGACAGGCAGAGCUGGAGAAGGUUAGCUGGCUUGUCCAAGGUCGUGGAGGUAUCAGCCUUGGAUCAGGCUUGAACCCUGGUCUCUGAUGGAUGACAGCUGCUUGCCCUCUAACAUAUAGGUGAUUAGAGCACAGUAUGAAGAGAGCUAUGAUUUGGCCUAAGACUGUGGCUCAGAAAGCCUGCGGAGGAGGGUCCUGGAACCUUCUUGAAGGAGGAUGAGGUGACCCUGGAUUGGAGUCCUGAAGAACAAGAAAGUGUUGUCCAGGAGGGGAGGAGAAGGAAAGGGGUUCCAGGGGGCAGGACCCGGUGGGGACGAAGGUUGGGAUGGGGCUGGGGUCUGUGGCUCUUCUAGAAAGUAAGGGUCUAGGGUGACAGUAGGAGCCGAGGGAGGCAGACCCUUCCCAACUGGACCUGAUUCUGUACAUCUGUAUCUUCCCCUCGGCACAUCCAUUGUCUCCCUCUAACCUAAGCCUGAGGAGAGAGCGGCCCCUGAAAAGUGCUUUCCUGUCUGAACCAGGUUUGUGGUGAAAGGACCCAGCUGGCUAGAGGCUCAGGGAGGUUCACGUAUCCCAUCUGGAUGGCCUCCAAAGAGGAGUCUUUAGAGGAGGGCGAGAGCGUGGCGGCCGCUGCUUGCCUCUGUUUCACCGCCCACCCUACUCUCUCUCUCUCACUUGUUUCUCGUCCAGCUGCUGCCCCCACACCUCAUCACUUACCCUGGGCUGACGGAGGAAGGCCCACCAUGCUGCCGUGGAGACCCCCGGUGCCUGGUGCUGACAAUGGAGAGCUGGACUCCAUGUGGCUUGAUGAUCGGGGGACAGAUAAGGGUCAUUAACACUUUUCUUAAUGACAGAACCCCUAAGCGGACCUGCUAGCCCCCGACAGGCAGAGCCAGGAGGAACCUCGGAGAUCUGGGCUUCAUCCUGUUUAUUUUAUUUAAAUGAGUUAAUAGAUGGGAGUGCUUGGAUGAGUGCCGAGCACAUAGCCAGUGUUGGACGAGCCUUUGCUAUUGCUGUUAUUAGUGCUGUCAUAUUUAUAGGUGGAGAGGGGACUACCCAGUUACACAGUGAGUGACAGACUGAACUGAGGCACGCUCAGGCCUGGGCUGUUUCCGAGGCAUCUUGCUGCGCUGAGGAGGCCUCUUCAGGGGCUCGCUUUCCACCCAGUGGCUGAUUUUUUUUUUUUUUUUUUUUUUUGGACCAUACUUGUGGCACGUGGAGUUUCCCAGGCUUGGGGUAGAAUUGGAGCUGCAGCCGCCAGCCUACCUCACAGCCACAGCAACGCAGGAUCUGAGCCAUGUCUGCAACCUGCACCACAGCUCACGGCAAUGCCAGAUCUUUAACCCACUGAAUGAGGACAGAGAUCAAACCUGCGUCCUCAUGGAUACUAGUCAGAUUUGUUUCUGCUGAGCCACGAUGGGAACUCCAGUGGGUGAUGUUUUGAGCUCUGCGUCAGUAUAACUUCUAAGAAAGCUAAUUAUCUGGGGGGAACGAGUGACCAAGGCUGUCCUUCAUAAAAAUAUCUCUUCAGGAGUUCCCACGAUGGCUCAAUGGUUAAGGAAACCGACUAGUAUCCAUGAGGAUGUGGGUUUGAUCCCUGGCCUCGCUCAGUGGGUUAAGGAUCUGGUGUUGCUCUGAGCUGUGGUGUAGGUUGUAGACACGGCUUGGAUCCUGUGUUGCUGUGGCUUGUGCCAUAGGCUGGCAGCUGUAGCUCCGAUUCGAUGCCUAGCCUCAGAACCUCCAUAUGCUGCAGGUGUGGCCCUAAAAAAAAAAAAAAGACAAGAAAUAAAAAAGGUCUCUUAGUCUGAUCUCAUCCCCCAACAGCAGUGUACAAUAGGUGUCAUCAUUUCAUGAAGGAGAAAACUGACUAUGUACUUAGGAGGCCUGCCCUCAGAAGAUGCUCAACACAUUUUAAUUUCCUCAGUCCUCCAGGCGGGUACACCGACUAACAGAGAUGCCUGCAUUGAAAUUUAUCCCCCACCCAGAAUGAGAAAUGAGAAAUGCUGACCAGGCGAGUGAGAGAAUCACUAGGCUCGGGGGACCUGCAUGGGGCCAGGGCUGGAUGGGAGGCUGGUGGGUGGCUAGCUGCUGCUGGGGUUGGGGGGGCAAUGAGAGUACCUUAGGGGGCAUCCAUCUGUCUUGUCCUUUGACAUUUGAGGUAAAUAAGUACCUGCUCCUCACUCUGCAAAGGAUCGGCACUUCCUGCUGCUGAGAAGAAGGUCCAAAUUGAAUCCAUUCUGGGAAAGAUGGGUGACGGGCCAGGGGCACUGGCCUCAGGCUGGAGAGGUGAGGCUGGAAGGGAAAAUUAAGGGACUCUUGCUUAGGGAGUAGCCACCAAGGCCUGCAGUGUUAGGCCCAGGAUCCUUUCGGAAAUUUGCUAAGGUCAGUUUUAGGGGAAGUAAAAGGCUGUUAGUUCUGUUCUACCAGGAUGCAGGUUACAGAAAGGCACAAUAUAGCACACUGGUUUAGGGCCCUGUCUCUGGAGCCAGGGUUCAAAUCUUAGCCCUGUGACCUGUGUGACCCUCAGCAACUUUUCAUAAUCUAUUUUGUUCCUCUGUUUCCUCACCUGUCAAAUGGGAGAAUGUUGCCAUUACAGGCCUCAUAGAGUUUAUAUACAGGAAGUGCUCAGAAUAGCACCUGGCACAUAGUAAGUCAUUGAUUAAUGUUGCUAUUAUUAUUGCUGUUAUUUAAUACCUAUGAGUCAUCGGUCUCUUAUUGGAUCCCCUUAGCUAAUUCUCCCACAGAGAGUAGUGGGCUUAGGUAUAAACCUUGAUGGUCUAACUUCAAAGGCUCUGAGCUUUCUCCUCGGUCAGGCUGACUCUCACAUUCUUUCAGUCUCCAUCUGAACUCUUUCUCUUGAUUGAAAUAUCGCCACUUCCUCGCACUGAAUGAGACUGUGGAGAGAUCUGUGAGAAGGUGAAUUUCUGGGCACCCAGGGCACUAAGGCAAAGCUAGAAGUCAUCUGCCCCAUCUCUGAGGCCAGCAUUCUUGUCUGGAUAAGAUGGCCUGGUGCACACAGCCUGCCGAGAGACUCCAUGGCUUAUCUCCUUUUUUUGGGGUUGGCAGCUGCAGGGCUGCAGAUAUCACAUCAUCUCCACGAGCCUUGUCUCCAUCUUUCUCUUCCACUUCAUGGUCUUAUGGCUGGCGGGGCAGCUCAAGGGGGCUCUGCCAUGGAGAACCACUCAUAGGUGGAGUUUUGCAGAGAAGGGGCCUCAGCUGUUGUCAUUCUUGGAGUCGCUUCUAUAAUACAAAAAUGGGGGGAAAGAAGCCAAACAGCAUUAUAAAAUGGGGUGUGUUUAAAGUGAGACUGUCAUCAUGCCAUUUUCCUAAUCCCACUGGAACACAUCUGGGGCUGUACAUAUUGCCUUUUGGAGCCUACACGGAACAUCUCAUGCAGCCCUUUGGGCCUGGAGGGGUGGUAGGCUCAGGUCCCCUCCUGACCCCUGUGAGACAAGUCAUCGUUUAGCCUGGCCUCUGCCCCCCGCGAGGCCUAGACUCAACUCCUUAGGUAGGCUGUGUCUCUGUUCCUGAGUAUGCCUGGUGCAGGUGUGCUUGACAAUCCGUCUGACAGAAAGAAAUCGACUUCACCUCCUUCUAGAGCCUCUGGCCUCUAUGCUUUGUCUUGCCAACUAUGUGGCCAGCUUUCCCACAUCUUGCUGCCUUCUUCUGUGCCUGGUUCGGGUUCAGGCUAAAGGUUGCAGUCUGAGGAACCCUCUGUGCGUUCUUGGUGUUUGGAUGAGAGCUCUACUUAGGAGUACAGAGUACAGAGCUAUGCUUCUGGGAUAGGGUCGUGUCCUGCACACCAAGAGCCCAGGGUGUGCAGUGGCUCAAGCCCUGAGAGCAGAUGUGAGGAUGACCCAAGAGAGCCAGUGACUGGCCCAGAGCCUGGCACACAGCAGUGCUUCUGCAUGAAGGAAUCAGCGAGGAAAGUAGCCCUGGGCCCUGGCUUCUGGAUCCCCCUUGGGAUGUCCCCAAGCAUCUGUCCUUCCCUCAGUCACCACACUGGCCCAAAGUCACAAUUGUGCCUCCCCGCUUCCAUCCCACUCUGCUUUGAUUGUGAGCCUUAGUACAAGACUUGCAUCUCGGCUUAGCAUCUUCAGCACCUGGCACCGCAUCUGGCCUGCAGAGGGCGCUCCGUCAUAUUGACGGGAUGAAUGAAUGGCUGGUCCUACCUUUCAUUCCCCCAGGGCUGCAAGCUGGAGAAGCAAAACCAGGCACCGGAGCUCACUGUCCUAUCUCCAGCUUAGUGGUGCCCCUGCCGGUUGCUCGAGGUCCAUGAUGGGACUCCAGGCAGCAUGAGGAAAGUGUUAGGGCAAGAGCAAGUUGGGAGUCAUGUGGAGACCCGUCCCCACGCCUCCCAGACACAGCCCGCGGUAGCUGAGCGAGGUCUUUAGAAGGCAGAACAAAACUACACUGGCCUGGAAUAAUCAUUGUUUUCUUGCUCAACUUACUCUUUCUGUCCAGAAUUGGUUCAUCCCUUAAACGGCUAAUGAGGUUUCUCCUCGCUGGAGGAGGGGCAUAUGUUAAGAGGGGCCCACUCAAGGUUACAUGGGGCAAUAUAUUUCCUAAAGAGUCUAUCCUGAGGUCCCUCAUUUUACAGAAGAGAACUUUAUGUGAGUUAAGAAAUGUGUUCAAGGUCACAUGACUAAUCAGUAAUUAUACUACUUGCUAUCACUUACUGUGGAUUAGCCACUCACAGUAUUAUUACAGAGUUGUUGGUUAAAACAGCCUUAUGGUUUAGGUUUAAUUAUGCCCAUUUGACAGAAGUAGAAACUGAGGCUUAGAGAGGUUAAGUAACUUGCCCAAUGCUACCUUCCCUGUCCAGAUCUUGCAGACUCAGGGCCUGUGCUGCAGAGAUUCUUAGUAGAAUAUGUACACUGGAUUUGCCUCUGACACCUAUAAAAAUUCCUCAUGCCAGAGCCCCACUUCAGACCUGCCAAAUCAGAACUUCUGUGUAAGUUCUGCUCCUCAAGUGAUUCUGAUGUGUUUCCUGCUUGAGGAUCUCGGCAUAAGAAAUUCACCUUU